rnacentral:tRNA from 1 species
CAGAAGAUAGUUUAAUUAAAGCAUAAACUUUGGAAGUUUAAGAUAGAUAAAAUUCUUCUUCUGA